UGUAGGUGGAGGUAUAGAGGUAUGUGACUGUAGGUGGAGGUAUAGAGGUAUGUGACUGUAGGUGGAGGUAUAGAGGUAUGUGACUGUAGGUGGAGGUAAAGAGGUAUGUGACUGUAGGUGGAGGUAAAGAGGUAUGUGACUGUAGGUGGAGGUAAAGAGGUAUGGGACUGUAGGUGGAGGUAUAGAGGUAUGGGACUGUAGGUGGAGGUAUAGAGGUAUGGGACUGUAGGUGGAGGUAUAGAGGUAUGGGACUGUAGGUGGAGGUAUAGAGGUAUGUGACUGUAGGUGGAGGUAUAGAGGUAUGGGACUGUAGGUGGAGGUAUGGGACUGUAGGUGGAGGUAUGUGACUGUAGGUGGAGGUAAAGAGGUAUGUGACUGUAGGUGGAGGUAAAGAGGUAUGUGACUGUAGGUGGAGGUAAAGAGGUAUGUGACUGUAGGUGGAGGUAAAGAGGUAUGGGACUGUAGGUGGAGGUAAAGAGGUAUGUGACUGUAGGUGGAGGUAUAGAGGUAUGGGACUGUAGGUGGAGGUAUAGAGGUAUGGGACUGUAGGUGGAGGUAUGGGACUGUAGGUGGAGGUAUGUGACUGUAGGUGGAGGUAAAGAGGUAUGUGACUGUAGGUGGAGGUAAAGAGGUAUGUGACUGUAGGUGGAGGUAUAGAGGUAUGUGACUGUAGGUGGAGGUAUAGAGGUAUGUGACUGUAGGUGGAGGUAUAGAGGUAUGUGACUGUAGGUGGAGGUAUAGAGGUAUGGGACUGGAGGUGGAGGUAUGUGACUGUAGGUGGAGGUAUAGAGGUAUGUGACUGUAGGUGGAGGUAAAGAGGUAUGUGACUGUAGGUGGAGGUAUAGAGGUAUGUGACUGUAGGUGGAGGUAUAGAGGUAUGUGACUGUAGGUAGAGGUAUGUGACUGUAGGUGGAGGUAUAGAGGUAUGGGACUGUAGGUAGAGGUAAAGAGGUAUGUGACUGUAGGUGGAGGUGAAGAGGUAUGUGACUGUAGGUGGAGGUGAAGAGGUAUGUGACUGUAGGUGGAGGUAAAGAGGUAUGUGACUGUAGGUGGAGGUAUAGAGGUAUGGGACUGUAGGUGGAGGUAUGGAGGUAUGUGACUGUAGGUGGAGGUAUAGAGGUAUGUGACUGUAGGUGGAGGUAUAGAGGUAUGGGACUGUAGGUGGAGGUAUAGAGGUAUGGGACUGUAGGUGGAGGUAUAGAGGUAUGGGACUGUAGGUGGAGGUAUAGAGGUAUGUGACUGUAGGUGGAGGUAUGUGACUGUAGGUGGAGGUAUGUGACUGUAGGUGGAGGUAUAGAGGUAUGUGACUGUAGGUAGAGGUAUGUGACUGUAGGUAGAGGUAUGUGACUGUAGGUGGAGGUAUAGAGGUAUGGGACUGUAGGUGGAGGUAAAGAGGUAUGUGACUGUAGGUGGAGGUAAAGAGGUAUGUGACUGUAGGUGGAGGUGUAGAGGUAUGUGACUGUAGGUGGAGGUAUAGAGGUAUGGGACUGUAGGUGGAGGUAUAGAGGUAUGGGACUGUAGGUGGAGGUAUAGAGGUAUGGGACUGGAGGUGGAGGUAUGUGACUGUAGGUGGAGGUAUAGAGGUAUGUGACUGUAGGUGGAGGUAUAGAGGUAUGGGACUGUAGGUGGAGGUAUGUGACUGUAGGUGGAGGUAAAGAGGUAUGUGACUGUAGGUGGAGGUAAAGAGGUAUGUGACUGUAGGUGGAGGUAAAGAGGUAUGUGACUGUAGGUGGAGGUAUAGAGGUAUGUGACUGUAGGUGGAGGUAUAGAGGUAUGGGACUGUAGGUGGAGGUAUAGAGGUAUGGGACUGUAGGUGGAGGUAUAGAGGUAUGGGACUGGAGGUGGAGGUAUGUGACUGUAGGUGGAGGUAUAGAGGUAUGUGACUGUAGGUGGAGGUAUAGAGGUAUGGGACUGGAGGUGGAGGUAUGUGACUGUAGGUGGAGGUAUAGAGGUAUGUGACUGUAGGUGGAGGUAAAGAGGUAUGGGACUGUAGGUGGAGGUAUAGAGGUAUGGGACUGUAGGUGGAGGUAUAGAGGUAUGGGACUGUAGGUAGAGGUAUGUGACUGUAGGUGGAGGUAAAGAGGUAUGUGACUGUAGGUGGAGGUAAAGAGGUAUGUGACUGUAGGUGGAGGUAAAGAGGUAUGUGACUGUAGGUGGAGGUAAAGAGGUAUGUGACUGUAGGUGGAGGUAUAGAGGUAUGGGACUGUAGGUGGAGGUAUAGAGGUAUGGGACUGUAGGUGGAGGUAUAGAGGUAUGGGACUGGAGGUGGAGGUAUGUGACUGUAGGUGGAGGUAUAGAGGUAUGUGACUGUAGGUGGAGGUAUAGAGGUAUGGGACUGGAGGUGGAGGUAUGUGACUGUAGGUGGAGGUAUAGAGGUAUGUGACUGUAGGUGGAGGUAUAGAGGUAUGUGACUGUAGGUGGAGGUAAAGAGGUAUGUGACUGUAGGUGGAGGU